GUGUGCCACACGUCCAUGCCGGUUUCGAGCGCGCCGUCCACGCGCACCUGAGGACUGCUCGCAACGUUGUGUUGGUC
rnacentral:sRNA from 2 species